rnacentral:lncRNA from 1 species
UUGGAUAACUCAAAGGAGCUGGUUUAAAGUAUCGAGCACUAUUUUGCUGUCUGAUCCCCCCGCUCCUCCUCCUGUCAUUCCUUUGUGCUAUGGGAAAAGAAACGGCAUUACAGAAACGCACCCAAACGCUUCCUGAACUGAGAAUAUACGGCGCUCUCCCAGUGCCAGCAAUUCGGCUUUUCUCCAUCCCCGAGAAGUAUAUGGGGCAACCCCUUCCAGCAAACAUGCAAACCAUUUCAGCCAAACCUCUACACAAAAGAUGGUGAAGCCUCUGCAAGUGAACUGUUUGGUACAAGAGCCAUUCUAGACAAAUAUCGAUAUUGGGGGCAGCCUGUCACAUUGUGGUACCAGGACUUGAGCUGGUUGCAGGCCACUGCAGUCUACCUUUGGUGCUGGCGAGAAGACUGGCCCCACCAGCUCAGUGGAUGCCUCCACAACUGGCUGAUGGUUUGGUUGUCCCAAGUCAUCAUUUUUUUUCUUCAAAUACACAAAGCCCAACUUGAGGACCAAGACAAAACAACAUAAAUGUCCUUUAAAGCAAAAGUCCCAACCCAGCAACCCAGAACCUAGCAGACCCCAAGGAGCUCAGAUCCAAAAUGACCUCGUAACGACAGUGGAAAAACCCACACGAGAAAACCUUUCGUGAGGAGGGUGCUUCAUAAAAUCCAGCUGAAUAAAACCUCAUUUCUCUAAACCGCCUUUCUCUGCUACCUCCAGAAGCCAGCCGCCUCAGGAUCUCAACGUGCCCCUGCAUGGUGACC